UCAUCUUGUAAGUUACCAACCAAAACCGGCCCAAAUUUACCACUCUUACCACUACCAAGAGGCCCGGCCUUCGGGUUUUCAAUUUCAACAAUCAGCAACGAGAAAGCCAGCAGUGAGAAUAUACGAGAAAAACAGACAAAGAAGUGAAGAAGAGUCAUGAGAUCAGCGAGAUGGGGCUAUUUUAGAAUCAUCACAGGCACCAUUAUUGGUGGCAUUUUUGGCUUCUAUGUUAUGCACCUUGCUGAACUCAAGUACAAGGAGAUGUGGAAUGAAAGACUGAAGAAGUAUGAGGAAGAGCUGAAUAGGAAGAAAAUUGCAGAGCAAUCCAAUGAAUUUCAAGAAUCCCUAUAGCAUUGUUCUGCUGGAUGUAAUAAAAAUAUGUUGGAGUCCUGUUCCCGUUUGGUGAAAGCCUCGCAUUAUGCUUCUCAUUGUAGAAAGACAUUUUUGCCUUCUUUCUAGAAAUGAUUGCUCUGUAGCUGGUCAGUUGUAGAUUGUGAUUUCUUUUUAUCUGAAACUUGGUUGAUGUUUUGAAAGCAACCCUCACUCGCAAUUUUACCCUUGUCUGGUGUAGACCUUGAUGCUAUUUGUAAGCCUGGGCGGCCACAGUUAUAUGUACAUCAAGUUCAUAUCUUGAUGGUAUUUUUGAACACAGUUGCUCUUUUGCCGAAGAAACGAGUACUUCUUGAUUCAAUGUUUCUGUUUCUAUGUUGCUUUAGUGGUGGAAUUAAAAGGUUAUGUUACUUGCGUGUUC